UGACCUCUUGAGGAGUGGGGAA
rnacentral:misc_RNA from 1 species